GACGAACGCUGGCGGCGUGCUUAACACAUGCAAGUCGAACGGAAAGGCCCUGCUUUUGUGGGGUGCUCGAGUGGCGAGCGGGUGAGUAACACGUGAGUAACCUGCCCUUGACUUUGGGAUAACUUCAGGAAACUGGGGCUAAUACCGGAUAGGAGCUCCUGCUGCAUGGUGGGGGUUGGAAAGUUUCGGCGGUUGGGGAUGGACUCGCGGCUUAUCAGCUUGUUGGUGGGGUAGUGGCUUACCAAGGCUUUGACGGGUAGCCGGCCUGAGAGGGUGACCGGCCACAUUGGGACUGAGAUACGGCCCAGACUCCUACGGGAGGCAGCAGUGGGGAAUAUUGCACAAUGGGCGGAAGCCUGAUGCAGCAACGCCGCGUGCGGGAUGACGGCCUUCGGGUUGUAAACCGCCUUCGCCUGUGACGAAGCGUGAGUGACGGUAAUGGGUAAAGAAGCACCGGCUAACUACGUG
rnacentral:rRNA from 1 species